AAUAGAAUUCCAAAAUACAAAAAAAAAAACUUUUAUAGGACUGCAAAAAUAAAAGGACAAAUGCACAGCUAUGGUUGGACAUCACUCUUUCAAUAAUUGAUAGAACAAAUAGAAAAUAAAUAAAGGUUUAUAAUACUUGGACAACAUUAUCAACCAAUUUGACCUCAUUAAAUUUUAUAGAACUUUCCACACACUAACAGCAAAAUUCACUGUCUUUUCAAGUGUACACAGAACAUUCACCAUAGAUCACCUUCUGAACCAUAAAACAUAUGUGUAGUUUCAUGGAGAAGUUCUCUUUAAAUGAACUGACUAAAGAGAAAAUAGUUUUAGACUUGAUUACAGAGGGAUCUGCAUCUUUUACUGAUUGUCACUUAAAGUAGGCUGCCGGGGCACCCCGAUUUUUUUAAGAGUUGUUCUUUAAGGACAAUGGGGGAGGAAAAUCCUCACUGGAAGGAAUUGAAACUGUUUAUCUAGAAGACCACUAAAAAUAAGCAAUAACAGCAAGAUGGAUGGGGAGCUGGAAAGCGAAUAGAGUGGGAAGAUGAUCUUUCCCUGGAGCUCAGUCAUCCUGCGGCCAAUCUCCCCUCUGACCGUCCCCAGCCAAACUCCUUUCAAUAUUCAGACACUCCUCUUCUCUUCUCUCUUUCUCUGCUCUGCUGGUCUUUUGCUCCUCUGCUCUUCUGCUUGCGGAGCCUGGGAUUUGGGGUUUGUAUGGUUACAAGAUAGGGAGGCAUGGCAGGCCAAAAAGCAACAUUUGGGUGGGAAAACAGGAAUGCCUGUUCCCAUUUAGGCUUUAGGUUUCCAGGCUUGAGAGUAGGGCCUUUGCGGGGGAAACACCCUCUUCUACCCGGCAUUUCCUUGUGAAAUUCACACUAUUGAUUCAUACGAUGGCGAUUACUCCAAGCUGGAGAUUAAUGAGAUAGACAAGGCAGAAAAUCAGUAAGAAAAUAAGUCUAGGGCUCUAGGAAAGCAAUUUAAAUUAUUUAUUUAUAGGUUAUAGGAUAAACUUAUGGUCUAGAAAGCUAGAAAGAAAUGGAAUGGUGAGGGGCUUAGGAAAGCUUAGAAUGAUAAGCAAACACUGUGAGAGGGAAAAAAUAUAAAACAAGAGAAACACAUACACAGAAAUACAAAUGCUGCACAAAGCUUGUUUUAAUGACACCCCAAUUUUGAUGAUUAACCUUCCAUCUGUUGUCCACUUCUUUGCUAUUAUGGCCAAUGGGACCCGAAAUUCAUACCCUCAGGGCCAGAUCAGCCCUGGGAAUGAAAAGAAAUUCAAUGGCAAAAUGUUCCUUUUCCGUUCUCAUUUUGAAACUAUCUCUUUUAUCAUUUCUGAGGGAAACUUUUGCCCAUUGUUUUCUCCUCCUUUUGCAUAUUGAAGUUUAAAUUGACCAAAGACUACUGAGGACAUGUCCCUUGCAGUAGCUGGCUUCAGCUAGUGGAUUCCUAGAAAAGCCCCCAAGAAUUCAUGCUCCCAGUUUUUGUGGUGUUCACAUGGAACAUGGCAUUGUAUAAUGGUUGAAGUGCAAAGGUGUUUAGGUUAACAGAAUGCCAUCUUAGAAUAAGAUCAGAACAAAGUACAAAGAUUGUCCUAAUUUCUUUCUUCCCCAAACUGCUUUAAUUCAACAAAAACUUGGCCAAUUUUUUUAAAGACACUUUUCCCAAGGAGAGUUGGGAUCUAUGUCAUCUUCCUUGAUAUCUAAGCGAUUUGUGUCACCGCUUUUUGAUCAAUAGAAUAGAGCGAAAGUGGUAGUUCUAGGCCCAGACUUUAAGAAGCUGACAGCUUCCAUUCCUCUUUCUUGGAUCACUUGGUCUUGGCUGCUAUUGGCCACUUGAAUCUCUGUAUAAGUAGUUCAAGUAUUCUACUGGAGAAACCACAUGGUGAGGCCCUGACCAUGAGGCAGACCACCAUUCUCGUCAAGUCUGCUUCUGGAUUCGUCUGCAUGAGGCCCACAGAACCAGAGCUGAGGAAACAUCAGCUGGGCUGGCACAGUUCUUAUUUCUUUCAUAUCCCCCUACAUGAAAAGCAAUUUUGUACUCCUGAAUAGCAUAGAUCAUGCAGAUUUGUACAUAUAUAAAUUUUAGAAUGUUGAUGUGUUUCUAGAAGUGCAAAUAUUCAAAUCCAUCUUUACAUUCAAAUGCACACAUGAAUCCACUGUAU
rnacentral:lncRNA from 10 species